UCCCUGGCUCAGGACGAACGCUGGCGGCGUGCCUAAUACAUGCAAGUCGAGCGGAAUGAUGAAGAAGCUUGCUUCUUCUGAUUUUAGCGGCGGACGGGUGAGUAACACGUGGGCAACCUACCUUGUAGAUUGGGAUAACUCCGGGAAACCGGGGCUAAUACCGAAUAAUCCAUUUUGCUUCAUGGCAAGAUGUUGAAAGGCGGCUUCGGCUGUCACUACGAGAUGGGCCCGCGGCGUAUUAGCUAGUUGGUAGGGUAAUGGCCUACCAAGGCGACGAUACGUAGCCGACCUGAGAGGGUGAUCGGCCACACUGGGACUGAGACACGGCCCAGACUCCUACGGGAGGCAGCAGUAGGGAAUCUUCCACAAUGGACGAAAGUCUGAUGGAGCAACGCCGCGUGAGUGAAGAAGGUUUUCGGAUCGUAAAACUCUGUUGUAAGGGAAGAACACGUACGAGAGUAACUGCUCGUACCUUGACGGUACCUUAUUAGAAAGCCACGGCUAA
rnacentral:rRNA from 1 species